rnacentral:rRNA from 1 species
CAGUAGCCGCGGGAACACGUAGGUGGCAAGCGUUGUCCGGAAUUAUUGGGCGUAAAGGGCUCGCAGGCGGUUUCUUAAGUCUGAUGUGAAAGCCCCCGGCUCAACCGGGGAGGGUCAUUGGAAACUGGGAAACUUGAGUGCAGAAGAGGAGAGUGGAAUUCCACGUGUAGCGGUGAAAUGCGUAGAGAUGUGGAGGAACACCAGUGGCGAAGGCGACUCUCUGGUCUGUAACUGACGCUGAGGAGCGAAAGCGUGGGGAGCGAACAGGAUUAGAUACCCCGGUAGUCCCUGUCUCUUAUAC